AUAGUCGUGUUAUGAUAAAAUGGGAUGGGAUCCGCAGUACCUCGAGGGAUAAUACAGGCUCUUGCAUCCAACUCCUAUUCCGACAUGUCCUCAUCGUGCAGAGUGGUAACAUGUGCCACCACAUAUCCAAGCAUGGCAAAAUGGUCACGU
rnacentral:ribozyme from 1 species